CCUACGGGAGGCUGCAGUGGGGAAUAUUGGACAAUGGGCGAAAGCCUGAUCCAGCCAUGCCGCGUGUGUGAAGAAGGCCUUCGGGUUGUAAAGCACUUUCAGUGGGGAAGAAAGCCUUGGGGCUAAUACCCUCGAGGAAGGACAUCACCCACAGAAGAAGCACCGGCUAACUCCGUGCCAGCAGCCGCGGUAAUACGGAGGGUGCGAGCGUUAAUCGGAAUUACUGGGCGUAAAGCGCGCGUAGGCGGUCUGAUAAGCCGGUUGUGAAAGCCCCGGGCGCAACCUGGGAACGGCAUCCGGAACUGUCAGGCUAGAGUGCAGGAGAGGAAGGUAGAAUUCCCGGUGUAGCGGUGAAAUGCGUAGAGAUCGGGAGGAAUACCAGUGGCGAAGGCGGCCUUCUGGACUGACACUGACGCUGAGGUGCGAAAGCGUGGGUAGCAAACAGGAUUAGAUACCCCGGUAGUC
rnacentral:rRNA from 1 species